rnacentral:rRNA from 1 species
UACGUAGGGUGCGAGCGUUGUCCGGAAUUAUUGGGCGUAAAGAGCUUGUAGGCGGUUUGUCGCGUCUGCCGUGAAAAUCCGGGGCUCAACCCCGGACUUGCGGUGGGUACGGGCAGACUAGAGUGUGGUAGGGGAGACUGGAAUUCCUGGCGUAGCGGUGAAAUGCGCAGAUAUCAGGAGGAACACCGGUGGCGAAGGCGGGACUCUGGGCCGAUACUGACGCUGAGGAGCGAAAGCGUGGGGAGCAAACAGG